rnacentral:rRNA from 1 species
UGGGGAAUUUUGGACAAUGGGCGAAAGCCUGAUCCAGCAAUGCCGCGUGUGUGAAGAAGGCCUUCGGGUUGUAAAGCACUUUUGUCCGGAAAGAAAUCCUUGGCUCUAAUACAGUCGGGGGAUACGGUACCGGAAGAAUAAGCACCGGCUAACUACGUGCCAGCAGCCGCGGUAAUACGUAGGGUGCAAGCGUUAAUCGGAAUUACUGGGCGUAAAGCGUGCGCAGGCGGUUUGCUAAGACCGAUGUGAAAUCCCCGGGCUCAACCUGGGACUGCAUUGGUGACUGGCAGGCUAGAGNAUGGCAGAGGGGGUAGAAUUCCACGUGUGACAGUGAAAUGCGUAGAGAUGUGGAGGAAUACCGAUGGCGAAGGCAGCCCCCUGGGCCAAUACUGACGCUCAUGCACGAAAGCGUGGGGA